GUGGCUAUGGUGAAGCGGUUAACACGCCGGAUUGUGGCUCCGGUAUUCGUGGGUUCGAGACCCACUAGUCACCCCA
rnacentral:tRNA from 1 species